AGACAACUCCGUCAGUGCUAUUUACACUCUGGACUAGCCUUUACCCGAGGUCACAUGCUUGCUGUCUCUUUCCCCUUCCCUGUCUUUUCCUCUGUCUCAUAUAGGUUUUUCCUAAAGAGAACUUUCACAGUAAAUCAUAUGUGCCUGAAUUCCUAUCUCAGGCCCUGCUUCUAGGGAAUUCUACUUAAGGUGGGCCCAAUGUAACGCAAGAAGCAGCAGGAGGCAAAACAAGACAGUAUAUGAGGGCUGCCCGCAGGAGAAAGAAUUGAUUGUCCAGGGCAUUAGUAGAUGGAAUGGGGCUAUGAGCCAAUGAAUGCUGGCAGCUUCUAGACUCUAGAAAAAGCACGGAGAUGGAUUUUCCCUUAGGACCUCCAGAAGGAAAGCUCUCCAUCAGACUUCUGACCUACAGAACUGAGGAUUUCCUACACAGCACAAUUGGGCUCCUGAGACAUCUACACAGUUAUACAUCUGAAGGUGGGUGGAUUGGAUCCCUGGGAAACAGUAGAACUAGGGUGCAGAUGGGGUCUCAGCAACUCAUAUGGGAGUUCCCAUUUGUUCACGCAGGACUUCACACGACUUCUGGAAAUCUCAACGGAGUGAAUCAAAGGAAGCUUCUGCUGUUUCCCUGAUCACUGCCUGUGCUCUACUGGAUCUUCAUGAUGCUAAAGCUGCCCAUGGUCUACAGGAAAGUGGAAGGUUGUUUAUAUUUCUGUUGGACUACAUUUUGGAUUUUGUAAAUUCAAGAGGAAAACAUGCAUCAGAUCCGUUUAUUUAAAGCAAUGUAGUGAUCAGAAGAACAAUUGAUUAUUUAAAGGUAAAUGGAUUUGGUCAGCAAAAUCAAAUGAUCUUGGAAACAUCAGCUUGAUAAACAUACAAAUGAACUUUAACCUGUGCUAAAUGCUUUUUAUUUCCUGAGAAUUAUUGAACAACGUUUUCAGGGAAAGUUAAAUAGAUUCACUACAAACUGUUACAUCUAGACUCUUUUUCAAUUUACACAAGGUUAUAUAUUGUUAUGGCAAAAUGAUACUAUUUUAAUAUAUUUCAUUUCAAUAUAUUAGUUCAGAAACUUUAUUCUGUGCUAUUUACAUUUCAAAUGUCUUAAGCAUAGAGAAGAAAAUUGAAUGUCCUAUUAGGGGAGAUAUUUAAGCAUCUAAACUUUAAUCUUAUUGUUAAAUACAUGGGUUUAGGCAUUUCUUCAAAAAAAAAAAAAAGAAAGGUAUAGAUUUGUAAGUAUAAGUAAAGGCACCAAAUCAAAUCCUGGAAGGGAAACUUCAGAGGGUUAGAAGAGGUUCAAAUAUAUGCAUCAGGAUCUCAACCUCAAAACUUACAUACAGUAGCAUAUUUUAACAAUUGUUAAAGCAUGUAGGAAAGUUCAAGGAUAAUGGUCAGUUAGUUGCUGUACACGGUCAAGUGCUAAAACACAAAUCCAGUUAAUAUGUAUGGAAGUGAUUAUAUGAUAAAGAAUAAGUCAGUUGUGAGCCGCAGAAACGUGUUGUUUAUACGCAAUGGGCUGAACAGAAAAGCGAAGAACCGUAGCUUUACUGUGACACCAAAUGUAAAUAAGAACCUAAAAUGCUGCAAGAAACUGACGACAGCCCCUUAGUUCCUACGUGGACGCUCUGUCUUGAACAAUUUAAAAAUCUCAUCUCCGAGGGUCAGUUAGCUCGGUUGGUUAGAGCAUGGUGCUAAAAAAAUAUCAUCUCAUCCAGAGAGGUUACAGUGAUUAGCUCAUUUAAUGACAAUACUAUUAUUAAGAAUAAGCAUUUAUUAGCAAGCACACUGAUAGGUAUUUCAUAUUUAUUCUCUCAUUUAACCCUUGCAACAAUUCUCAGAUGUUCCAUUAUCCCUAUUUCAAAGCUCUUUAAACUAAGGCACAUAGAAAUAUAAUAACUUGCCCAGGGUCACUCACUGGAAGUGACAGAACCAGGAUUCAGUCAUAAAUCCUUUUGACUCUGGGGAUCAUGCUCUUAACUACUUUAAUCUGUUACCUCUCUU
rnacentral:lncRNA from 1 species